UACGGAGGGUGCAAGCGUUAUCCGGAUUCACUGGGUUUAAAGGGUGCGUAGGUGGGAUGGUAAGUCCGUGGUGAAAUCUCCAAGCUUAACUUGGAAACUGCCGUGGAUACUAUCAUUCUUGAAUCUCGUGGAGGUAAGCGGAAUAUGUCAUGUAGCGGUGAAAUGCUUAGAUAUGACAUAGAACACCGAUAGCGAAGGCAGCUUGCUACACGAGUAUUGACACUGAGGCACGAAGGCGUGGGGAUCAAACAGG
rnacentral:rRNA from 1 species